rnacentral:rRNA from 1 species
AUAGACCCGAAACCCGGUGAUCUAGCCAUGGGCAGGUUGAAGGUUGGGUAACACUAACUGGAGGACCGAACCGACUAAUGUUGAAAAAUUAGCGGAUGACUUGUGGCUGGGGGGGAAAGGCCAAUCAAACCGGGAGAUAGCUGGUUCUCCCCGAAAGCUAUUUAGGUAGCGCCUCGUGAAUUCAUCUCCGGGGGUAGAGCACUGUUUCGGCAAGGGGGUCAUCCCGACUUACCAACCCGAUGCAAACUGCGAAUACCGGAGAAUGUUAUCACGGGAGACACACGGCGGGUGCUAACGUCCGUCGUGAAGAGGGAAACAACCCAGACCGCCAGCUAAGGUCCCAAAGUCAUGGUUAAGUGGGAAACGAUGUGGGAAGGCCCAGACAGCCAGGAUGUUGGCUUAGAAGCAGCCAUCAUUUAAAGAAAGCGUAAUAGCUC